rnacentral:lncRNA from 1 species
CUCUUUCACAUUUGGUCUCCUGCUGCUGAACUGGCUUUCCUGUUUGGGAACCUCCGAGAUUCUCCACCUCUUUUCUUGCUACUUGCAACCUCCCAGAACCAAGCCCUGUUCACAACCUGCUGCUCAGAGCUAACAGAGAUUUUGGGAGGUUAAGUAACUUGGCCAAGGUCAUAAGGCCGGUAAAGAGCUGAGCUGGGACUUGACCUGAGUUUGUUUGACUUGAAGCUGGAGUUCUCAAUCAUUAUGCACCCCCAGAUCUACUGAAUCCGAGUGUCUGGUGAGUAGGGAUGGACCUAGGAUUUUAAGGUGAUUCUUAGGUCAUUCUUUUAUAUCUUCAUCCCAUUUGAGAAAUGCUCACGUAGACGGUGAGGCAGAGGGAUGAACACUGUCUGUGGGGAGGAGUUACAGAGUCGAAACUGGAUCUUGAAGGAUUAAAUGGGAGUUUCCAGGCAGACUGAGGUA